rnacentral:tRNA from 1 species
AUGGGCGAACGACGGGAAUUGAACCCGCGCAUGGUGGAUUCACAAUCCACUGCCUUGAUCCACUUGGCUACAUCCGCCCCUUAUCCAGCUAAAGGAUUUUUUUAUUUUUUCCAUUGAUCAUUAUUCUAUUUAUUCUGA